rnacentral:tRNA from 1 species
AUUUAUAUAGUUUAAUAAAACAUUAUAUUUUCAAUAUAAAAAUAAACAAAGUUUUAUAAAUA